GAUAUACGGUCGAGAUGCUUGAGAUUGGCUGAUAAGAGCACUUUCGAGGCGGUGGCCGUCCAUAGAUUGCUUGGCCACCGGUUACCGCUGGAUUCGCGGCUGGCCAAAUCCGAAUGGUAUGAUAUUGUGGAAGGAGAACAUUCUCUAUGGAUGGGAGUAUCGAAAUUCGAAACCAUUCAGGGAAACCAUUCGAGUUUUUAUGGCUUAUUUUCAGAAUCAAGUCUUCCUUGCUGCAAACCCAGUUUUCCUGGAUCAGUUACGUAAUGUGGACUGUGUGGUUUAUGCCAUGUGAUCCUUCUUCACUUGUAUUUGCCCAUCACUGGUAUUGACUGGCAUUGGGGAGAUUAUAUCUUCAAAGUCCAACCUGAAGGUGCAUAUUCAUCACACUUUUGAGUUACAUGUUACCUGAUAUACUAAUACUCCAGAU